UAGAAUAAAGCUCGCUGGAUAGAGUGUUUAGCUGUUAACUAAAAUAUUACGGGAUCGAGGCCCGUUAUUCUAG
rnacentral:tRNA from 1 species